AGCGAACGCUGGCGGCAGGCUUAACACAUGCAAGUCGAACGGGCAUAGCAAUAUGUCAGUGGCAGACGGGUGAGUAACGCGUGGGAACGUACCUUUUGGUUCGGAACAACACAGGGAAACUUGUGCUAAUACCGGAUAAGCCCUUACGGGGAAAGAUUUAUCGCCGAAAGAUCGGCCCGCGUCUGAUUAGCUAGUUGGUAGGGUAAUGGCCUACCAAGGCGACGAUCAGUAGCUGGUCUGAGAGGAUGAUCAGCCACAUUGGGACUGGGACACGGCCCAAACUCCUACGGGAGGCAGCAGUGGGGAAUAUUGGACAAUGGGCGAAAGCCUGAUCCAGCCAUGCCGCGUGAGUGAUGAAGGCCCUAGGGUUGUAAAGCUCUUUUGUGCGGGAAGAUAAUGACGGUACCGCAAGAAUAAGCCCCGGCUAACUUCGUG
rnacentral:rRNA from 1 species